CCCACAUACGUAACAUUUUACGAUAAUAAGGGGAGGAGAUCAAUGGGUAAAACGCUUGCGCACAUAACUUACUCAGCAGCAAAUACAAUCUGUGACUCACUGAGGGGGAACUGAGAAGUUCUCCACGGUAGAAAAGUCUAAAGUUUGUUUAUCGGACGGAUCAUCCAUGUUGACUUUUAAUUUUAUGGACAGCGAAAAAUUGCAUUUUAUAAUUAUUAAUAUUCGGCCACUGAUUUCCGAUUAAGAUAACAAAAAGAACCUGCUUACUUCUAUCGGUGAAGAAGAACCUGAAGAAUAAUAAAUAUAAUUUGCAGGAUGGUCCCAGGAAAAUCCUUGACCAGACGCAUUUAACUGAUACUCUUGAAUCAACAUCUUGGCGCUUCGAGUGCUUUCGAAAAAUGCGAAGACGAUCUACCUGACUCAGGCCGACGACUGAUAAUACUAAGAAAAAAGGAGCAAUGAAUGGUGUGAUGACUAAUGAUAAGGAAACCUAAUGUGGGAUAUCCUCUGCAAUCGAUAAUACACCCA